CGUCCGAAAAUAUUGUCAUCAAAAUGGACAAAAAGGGAUGUAUCUAAAACUAAAAUACAUCUAGAUACAUCCCUUUUAUCCAUUUUGAUGACAAGUAUUUCCGGACG
rnacentral:pre_miRNA from 1 species